rnacentral:rRNA from 1 species
GCACUCCCGGGGCGUCUCUAUCUCAUUGCGAGAGGAGGCGCACCUAGAGCGUACACGCUGAUACCCGAAAGAUGGUGAACUAUGCCUGGCCAGGACGAAGCCAGGGGAAACCCUGGUGGAGGUCCGCAGCGAUUCUGACGUGCAAAUCGAUCGUCGGAGCUGGGUUUAGGGGCGAAAGACCAAUCGAACCAUCUAGUAGCUGGUUCCCUCUGAAGUUUCCCUCAGGAUAGCUUGCGCUCGGACGAUACGAGUCUCAUCCGGUAGAGCGAAUGAUUAGAGGCCUUGGGGUCGAAACGACCUCAACCUAUUCUCAAACUCCAAAUAGAUGAGAACCCCGGCUUUCUUGAACCAUGUUUAUGAAGCCGGGGGCUUGGAUCAGAGUGCCAAGUGGGCCAAUUUUGGUAAGCAGAACUGGCGCUGUGGGAUGAACCAAACGCGGAGUUAAGGCGCCUCAAUCGACGCUCAUGUGAAACCAUGAAAGGCGUUGGUUGCUUAAGACAGCAG